rnacentral:rRNA from 1 species
CAGCAGCCACGGGAAUACAGAGGGUGCGAGCGUUAAUCGGAUUUACUGGGCGUAAAGCGUGCGUAGGCGGCUUCUUAAGUCGGACGUGAAAUCCCUGAGCUUAACUUAGGAAUUGCAUUCGAUACUGGGAAGCUAGAGUAUGGGAGAGGAUGGUAGAAUUCCAGGUGUAGCGGUGAAAUGCGUAGAGAUCUGGAGGAAUACCGAUGGCGAAGGCAGCCAUCUGGCCUAAUACUGACGCUGAGGUACGAAAGCAUGGGGAGCAAACAGGAUUAGAUACCCCCGUAGUCCCUGUCUCUUAUAC